rnacentral:lncRNA from 1 species
AUUUCAACACAGGUCAUUUCUAACUCAUAUUUCACUUCUCUAAAUCCAAUAAAAAUAGUAUCUCAUACUAUUUUUAUUUAUUUCUAUUUUUAUAUUUAAAUCCGGUAUAUUACAUUACACUGCAACCUUACCGGAACAAGUUAAAUGUACACUGUAACUUCAUAUUUUUAGAAGUCCGGUACCUUACAGGUACACAGCUGCAUU